AGUGAACGCUGGCGGUAUGCCUAACACAUGCAAGUCGAACGGCAGCACAGUAAGAGCUUGCUCUUACGGGUGGCGAGUGGCGGACGGUUGAGGAAUACAUCGGAAUCUACUUUUUCGUGGGGGAUAACGUAGGGAAACAUACGCUAAUACCGCAUACGACCUACGGGUGAAAGCAGGGGAUCUUCGGACCUUGCGCGAUUGAAUGAGCCGAUGUCGGAUUAGCUAGUUGGCGGGGUAAAGGCCCACCAAGGCGACGAUCCGUAGCUGGUCUGAGAGGAUGAUCAGCCACACUGGAACUGAGACACGGUCCAGACUCCUACGGGAGGCAGCAGUGGGGAAUAUUGGACAAUGGGCGCAAGCCUGAUCCAGCCAUGCCGCGUGGGUGAAGAAGGCCUUCGGGUUGUAAAGCACUUUUGGUGGGAAAGAAAAGCAGUAGGCUAAUACCACGCUGUUCUGACGGUACCCAAAGAAUAAGCACCGGCUAACUUCGUG
rnacentral:rRNA from 1 species